rnacentral:rRNA from 1 species
UUAUGUGAUCGUCUCUCGCAUAUCAAUAAGCGGAGGAAAAGAAACUAACAAGGAUUCCCCUAGUAACGGCGAGUGAAGCGGGAAGAGCUCAAAUUUGAAAUCUUAAAGGGUUUCCCUUUACGAAUUGUAGUUUAAAGGAAGUGUUUUCUGUUGAGGUUUUGGUAAAAGUUCUUUGGAAUAGGACAUCAUAGAGGGUGAGAAUCCCGUAUUUGACCUUUACUUUCAACUUUGUGAUACACUUUCAAAGAGUCGGAUUGUUUGGGAAUGCAGUCCAAAAUGGGUGGUAAAUUUCAUCUAAAGCUAAAUAUUGGCGAGAGACCGAUAGCGAACAAGUACCGUGAGGGAAAGAUGAAAAGAACUUUGAAAAGAGAGUUAAACAGUACGUGAAAUUGUCAAAAGGGAAGCGUUUGACACCAGUGUUGUUUUUCUGAAAAUCAAUUAAAGAACUGUUUAUGCUAAGUUGUUUAGACUUUAUCAGCUAACUGUUUAGUUUUGAGCUUUUCUUUAAUGCACUUUUCAGUUAACAAGUCAACAUCAAUUUCUUUUGCUGUAAAAAAGCUUGAGGAAGGUGGCUUGAGAUUCGUCUUAAGUGUUUAUAGCCUCCUGCCUAUGCAGUCGGAGAGAUUGAGGUCUGCAGCGUAGAUCCUUCGGGGCUAAAUGCUUUUGUGCUAAGUUAUAACAUUUUAUAGACAACUUGUUGACUAUGAUUUGUCUUGUAGCUUACUCGCUUAUGUUAUUUUACCUACGCUUAGGAUGUUGACGAGACUGUCGAUCUC